AAGUCGUAACAAGGUUUCCGUAGGUGAACCUGCGGAAGGAUCAGUAGAGAAAACUGGGUUGUCUCCUCGGAGCGCCCGACCUACCCACACACACCAGUGAACCGUUUAUUUCGAUGUCCCGUCGGUUUCGACCGUGAAACGUCGGUCCGCGGGCGUCGGCCUUACAAAAUCUUUAUAGUGUAACGAAUGUAAUCUAUUUUAACAAAAUAAAA
rnacentral:misc_RNA from 1 species